UGACGUCAGCUCAGGGAAGAACACCUACUGAGUUUAAGCAUAUAAUUAAGUGGAGGAAAAUAAACUUACAAGGAUUCCCCUAGUAUCAACGAGCGAACUGGGAAGAGCCCAACAUGAAAAUUAGGCGGAAACAUCGCCUAAAUUGUAGUCUGUUGAUGCAUCCUCAGCGGUGGACCUAGGCCAAGUCCCUUAGAAGGGGGCACCUGAGAGGGUGACAGCCCCAUCGGGCCAAGGCCCUACCACAUCACGAGGAAUUUCCAACGAUUCGGGUUGUUUGGGAAUGUAGCUUGAAUUGGGUGGUAAAUUCCGUUCAAGGCUAAAUACGAGUGCGAGACCAAUAAUGAACAAGUACUACGAAGGAAAUAUGAAAAGGACUUUGAAAAUAGAGUUAAAGAGUGCUUGAAAUUGUUGGGAGGGAAGCAGAUGGAGGUUCUUGAAGCAUCUUAGUUAGAUGUGGAACGACUCAGGUUGGUCCAUCACUCAACUUAAGGUGAAAACCAACACAGGCUGCUACGUCAUCACAAGCACGGGUGGAUUAUUGCCUAUCAGUUUAUCAUUACAAUGGUCGAGGAGCAAAGCGUGCACCCUUGUGGCGGGUCAUGUGCACCUGUGUGCUCGUGGUGUUGGUUGGCGGGCUUUCCAUUCGACCCGUCUUGAAACAUGGAACAAGGAGUCUAACAUGUGUGCAAGUCGGUGGGUUUGAAAUCCUGCAAGGUGUGAGGAAGUUGACAUGUGAGAUCCCCUCUCUAGGGGGGUGCAUCAUUGACCAAGCUUGAGAUUAUGGGAAGGGUUUGAGUGCGAGCACACCUGUUGGGACCCAAAAGAUGGUGAACUAUGCUUGAGCAGGGCGAAGCUAGAGGAAACUUUGGUGGAGGCUUGUAGUGAUAAUGACAUGCAAAUCGUUCGUCUGACUUGGGGAUAGGGGUGAAAGACUAAUCGAACAAUCUAGUAGCUGGUUUCCUCUGAAGUUUCCCUCAGGAUAGCUGGAGCUCGCGUGAGUUUUAUCGGGUAAAGCAAAUGAUUAGAGGCAUUAGUGGCCUAAUGCCCUCGAUCUAUUCUCAAACUUUAAAUAGGUAAGAGGGUGUGGCUGCUCCAUUGAGCCAUGCCAUGGAAUUGAGAGCUCCAAGUGGGCCAUUUUUGGUAAGCAGAACUGGAGGUGUGGAUGAACUGAAAGUCAAGUUACAGUGCCGAAUUGUGCACUAACCUAGAUCCCGCAAAGGGUGUUGGCUAAUUAAGAUAGCAGGAUGGUGGUCAUGGAAGUCGAAAUCCACUAAGGAGUGCGUAACAACUCACCUGCCGAAUCAACUAAUCCAUAAAAUGGAUGGCGCUAAAGCACACAAUCUAUACUCGAUCAUCGGAGCAAUUGCCUAGCUUCGAUGAGUAGCAGGACUUGGGGAUCAUUGAAAUACAUUGACUGUGAGCUUGGGUGGAUCAGCCCCCAGUGAAGAUCUUGGUGGUAGUACCAAAUAUUCAAAUGAGAACUUUGAAGACUUAAGUGGGGAAAGGUUCCAUGUGAACAACACUUGGACAUGGGUUAAUCGAUCCUAAGAGAUGGGGAAGCCUUGUAUCAAGACUACACUCUACAUAAGCAUUGAAAGAGAAUCAGGUUAAUAUUCCUGAACUGGGACAUGAUGGCAGGUGGAAACAUUAGGAAAUCUGGAGAUGUCGUUGGGGGCCCUGGGAAGAGUUAUCCUUCAUUUUUAAUAGCUUUCCCACCCUGGAAUUGGUUCACCAAGAGAUAGGGUCCAGCAGCUGGAAGAGCACAACAUGUCUUGUAGUGUCUGGUGCACCCUCGGUGGCCCUUAAAAACCUGGAGGACUGAGUACCAUUCAUGCCCAGUCAUAAUCAUAACCGCAUCAGGUCUCCAAGGUGAACAUCCUUUGGUCAAUAGAAAAAUGUAGGUAAGGGAAGUAAAAAAAAUAGAUUCGUAACUUCCGGAAAAGGCUUGGCUCUGAGGGAUGGGCCUAGGGGCCUUUGCCCUCAACUCGUGGGUUGUCAACAGUCUACCUAAGCUAUUCUCACAGUGAGGGCAGGCAGUCGCAUGCCGAUUGGGCUAUGGGCGUAGAAUUCUCCCUACCAAGGGCUUUUCCCUGGGCGAUGAACAAUCGACUCAGAACUGGUACACACAAGGGGAUUUUGACUGGCUAAUUAAAAUAAAGCAUUGUGAUGGUCCCUGCGGAUGCUGACACAAUGUGAUUUCUGCCCAGUGCUUUGAAUGUCAAAGUGAACAAAUUCAACCAAACGCGGGUAAACGACGGGAGUAACUAUGACUCUCUUAAGGUAGCCAAAUGCCUUGUCAUCUAAUUAGUGAUGUGCAUGAAUGGAUUAAUGAGAUUCCCAUUGUCCCUAUAUACUAUCUAGAAAAACUACAACCAAGGGAACCAACUUCGAAGAAUCAGUGGGGAAAGAAGACCCUGCUGAGUUUGACUCUAGUCUUACUUUGUGAAAUGACUUGAGAGGUAUAGAAUAAGUGGGAGUCAUUUUCGACGCAAGUGAAAUAAAACUACUUAUAAUGUUAUUUUACUUAUUCUGGGGGGCAGAGAUGGGGAACUGCCCCUAUUUUUGGCCUUAAGGAAAGUUUUGGUGGGUUGAUCCACGUGGAAGACAUUGUCAAGUGGGGAGUUUGGCUAGGGCAGCAUAUCUAUUAAAAUAUAAUGCAGGUGUCCUAAGAUGAGCUCAACAAGAACAUAAACCUCGUGUGGAACAAAAGGGUAAAAUAUAAUUUGAUUUUGAUUUUCAAUAUGAAUACAAACCAUGAAAGUGUGGCCUAUUGAUGCUUUAGAUUUUUGGAAUUUGAAGCUAGAGGUGUCAGAAAAGUUACCACAGGGAUAGCUAGCUUUUGGAAGCCAAGUGUUCAUAGUGACAUUGCUUUUUGAUCCUUCGAUGUCGACUCUUCCUAUCAUUGUAAAGCAGAAUUCACAAAGUGUUGGAUUGUUCAGCCACUAAUAGGGAAUGUGAGUUGGGUUUAGACUGCCAUGAGAUAGGUUAGUUUUACCCUACUGAUGAAUCACACCGCAAUAGUAAUUCAACUUAGUACGAGAGGAACCACUGAUUCACACAAUUGGUCAUCACGCUUGGUUGAAAAUCCAGUGGCGCAAAGCUAUCAUGUGUUGAAUUAUGACUGAAUGCCUCUAAGCUAAAAUCCAUGCUAGAAUUAGUGCAUGUCACUCUUCAACUGUAUCUCGACCCGCAGUAGGGGCGUCGCUUUCUCACCCCCAAGGGCCUGUGUCAUUUGCAAACCGUGACUAUGAAGCAUCUCGGUUGGGGCAACUUUGAAGUUCCAUUCCAAAUGGUCAUUGAGAAGAAUCCUUUGUAGACAACUUAAAUAAGUGACAGGGUAUUGUCAGUGGCAGAGUGUCCUUACUACCAUGAUCCACUGAGAUUCAGC
rnacentral:rRNA from 1 species